CACGUAGGGGGCAAGCGUUGUCCGGAUUUAUUGGGCGUAAAGAGCUCGUAGGCGGUUCGGUAAGUCGGGUGUGAAACCUCCAGGCUCAACCUGGAGACGCCACCCGAUACUGCUGUGACUAGAGUCCGGUAGGGGAGCGUGGAAUUCCUGGUGUAGCGGUGAAAUGCGCAGAUAUCAGGAGGAACACCGGUGGCGAAGGCGGUUCUCUGGGCCUUACCUGACGCUGAGGAGCGAAAGCAUGGGGAGCAAACAGG
rnacentral:rRNA from 1 species